AAGAUCCUUACAGAAUGACAGAGAGUCAGCAUCGGAGAGAACAUGACAGUGGAAGCAGGGGAAUUGCUAGCCUUGGAGAUGCAAAGAUAAGUGGUCUUGAGAUGCUGGGAAAUAAUAAGGAACAGGGCCUCCCCAAUAACCUCCAGGGAUGACACAUCCAUGCCCAAAAACUGCUUUCAGCCCAUUGAGACCCGUGCUAAACUCCACACCUCCAGAACUGUAGUGGGGCAAACCUGUGUGGUUUUAGGUGGUGGUUUGUUACAACAGCUACUAAUAUCAAUCUGGGGGAAGACUUAGGGUGUUACUCCAUAGUUCUGGCAGCCUAGGACUCCUGAGCCCACGGGUAAAAGACCUGUAGGGAUUUGAGCUUUACAAAAAAAAAAAAAAAAAAAAUCGCCUGAUGUGAAAUCACUAAGUUUUAUAUCAGGGGAAAAGGAAUUAGUUGCUUUCCAGUAUCAUGACAAGAAACCCAAGAAAACAACUUUAAGAGGCAGAGUUUAUUUUGUCUCAUGGUUUCCUGUUCAGCACAUAGUCAGGUGGACACAUAGUCAGUCAGCUGGACACACAGUUAGCUGGACACAUAGUCAGCUGCUUCCAUUGUUAUGAGUCCAUGCUUUGACAAAGCAUCCUGGCAGGAAGGGCAUCAGGAGGUACAGUGAAAUAGAGAGAGCUGUUACUCAUGAUACCGAGGAAACAGAGAAGAGAAAGAGAACAGGGGGAAAUGAAUACUUCAAAAGCACAUGGCUCCAAAGACAUAAUUCCUCUGGCAAGGCCCCAUAUUCUAAUAAUCAGUAUGAACUCACCAGUGGAUUUACCCAUCAACGUAGUUAGUACCUUCAUGAUGUAAUGUCUUCUCAAUAGCUAUAUCAUCUGGGGCCCAAACCUUCACAACAAGCUCUUUGGGAGGACAUCUCAUAUCCAAAGCACAGAAGACACUGCGGAACUAACCCACUAGGAAGAUGAAUCAGUAUGGAGACUAGACUGGAGGAAUUUGUUCUGACAAAUGUACUUCUAUCCAAGCCUAGAUGGGUCAGUCUCUGGGUGGAGCCUCCUGAUGUAAUCAAGUGGUGCAGAAAUGGUGUCAUAGCGACCUGUGUGACCACGUGGGAAGCAUUUGACUUCAGGGCAAGCUUGUUCACAUCUGAUACACAAUGACAAGAACAGACCUUUCCAGAAGCCAGACUCUUAGAGAGCUAAAUCCAACAAGUUGGAUGUUGGCAGAACCAUGGAGAGUCUCGAGGGACAGCCUGCUUCUAUACUUAUCUCCAGGCUCCUGAGCUGUGUUCCUUGACCCCCUGCCUCACCUCCACCUUCCAAGCCAGCACUGUAGCAUCUUCC
rnacentral:lncRNA from 1 species